GUCAGGGUCCCAGGACUGGGGGUCAGUCAGGCCCAGGACUGGGGGACACAGGGAUGUCAGUCAGGGCCAUGUCUGUGAGCGGGUAGGCACCCACUUCUUCUGCGUCUCGGCGUCCAUGACGAUGGAGAUGUAGCCCUCGAUGAGGGAGAA